AUUGAACGCUGGCGGCAUGCCUUACACAUGCAAGUCGAACGGUAACAGGUCUUCUGAUUCUGACGAGUGGCGAACGGGUGAGUAAUACAUCGGAACGUACCCUGACGUGGGGGAUAACGAGGCGAAAGCUUUGCUAAUACCGCAUCCGAUCUAAGGAUGAAAGCAGUGGACUGCAAGGACUAGUGCGAUUGGCGCCGCCGCUGGCUGAUUAGGUAGUUGGUGGGAUAAAAGCUUACGAAGCCGACGAUCAGUAGCUGGUCUGAGAGGACGACCAGCCACACUGGGACUGAGACACGGCCCAGACUCCUACGGGAGGCAGCAGUGGGGAAUUUUGGACAAUGGGCGAAAGCCUGAUCCAGCAAUGCCGCGUGCAGGAUGAAGGUCUUCGGGUUGUAAGCUGUUUUUGUAGGGAACGACAAGGCUCUGGCUAAUACCUGGGCCACGUGACGGUACCGUAAGAGAAAGCAACGGCUAACUACGUG
rnacentral:rRNA from 1 species